rnacentral:rRNA from 1 species
CCUACGGGAGGCAGCAGUGAGGAAUAUUGGUCAAUGGCCGUAAGGCUGAACCAGCCAAGUCGCGUGAAGGAAGAAGGAUCUAUGGUUUGUAAACUUCUUUUAUAGGGGAAUAAAGGUAUCCACGUGUGGAUAUUUGCAUGUACCCUAUGAAUAAGCAUCGGCUAACUCCGUGCCAGCAGCCGCGGUAAUACGGAGGAUGCGAGCGUUAUCCGGAUUUAUUGGGUUUAAAGGGUGCGUAGGUUGUUUUUUAAGUCAGCGGUGAAAGUUUGUGGCUCAACCAUAAAAUUGCCGUUGAAACUGGAAGACUUGAGUGUGUUUGAGGUAGGCGGAAUGCGUGGUGUAGCGGUGAAAUGCAUAGAUAUCACGCAGAACUCCGAUUGCGAAGGCAGCUUACUGAGCCAUAACUGACACUGAAGCACGAAAGCGUGGGGAUCGAACAGGAUUAGAUACCCUUGUAGUC